UACGUAGGGGGCUAGCGUUGUCCGGAAUCAUUGGGCGUAAAGCGCGUGUAGGCGGUUCGGUAAGUCCGCUGUGAAAGUCGGGGGCUCAACCCUCGGAUGCCGGUGGAUACUGUCGAGCUUGAGUACGGAAGAGGCGAGUGGAAUUCCUGGUGUAGCGGUGAAAUGCGCAGAUAUCAGGAGGAACACCGGUGGCGAAGGCGGGUCUCUGGGCCGUAACUGACGCUGAGGAGCGAAAGCGUGGGGAGCGAACAGG
rnacentral:rRNA from 1 species